GUUUUGAUUUGUAUCAUAAUGUCUUUUUGUGAGAAGUGCAUUGCGCGGAGGGAAGGGCGGAUUACCCGAUACUUUUGAAGCGGCUGGAAUUAAUAUCAGCUCGUCAAAACAACGCAGUGUCCUGGAGGUUUAAGAUAGUAUAAAUCUUAUUGCCGUAUGCAGCAAAGGAAAGCGGAUCUCUGAGGUUACCAGGAGCAUGGCUGGGAACCAAAUGGAAGAAGCAGAUGAUGGCACGAUUAAAGAUGGCCCACCGCCAAGGGCUUUGGGCGUCACCUUUCAUGCCCACCUGGUUCGGCUCGGCACUGGCGUCUUAUCCUGCAGCGGCUGCAGCAGCUACCUAUGGUUCUCUCCUUGCUGCUCCGAGACCAGUAAUGCCUGGAGGAAUUGGUCCAGGACCAGGCCAACAGCCGAUGCACCUAUCAAUGCCGCCACACCCGUCCUCUAUAGCCGCACCCACCCCUCUCCAUAUUGCUACGUCAUCUAGUUCGCCUCGUGGUUUACUAGCGCCUCAGUAGUGAACCGGAGGCAAUAUGAAUCAUAAAUCCAGGCGAUUUUUGUAAAUUCUUUACCAAUUUUCAUUUUCAUUUAUGUAUCAUUUUAUAACCAAAUUGGGUCAUGUUAACCACACAUCACCUCUGUAAAUUACUAUAACAGCCUAUUGUACUUGCCAUGUAUUCAUGUUUGAAGCUUUGGAAACAGAUAAUCCACUUUUUCCUCAGUGUCCAAUAAUCCUGCUUAUGAUAAGCGAAUUGUAGAAAUCAAAAAUUAUAUCUAUGAUUGGCAUGCUGGAUAAAGAUACAUACCAAAGCAACAACAUUUUUCGUACGUGACAUCAUAGACGACGUUGAUAAAAUAAAGUUUGAAUAACAAUUGACAAGAAAAGUAUUCCUUUAUAAUACCAGGCCCUCUUUCCAUUAACAUACAAUUUAUUAUCGAAUCUCCACAACCAAAACUUUUACGAAACCCUAGUUUUUUUUAAUUAGCUGUUGAGCAAGGCUAUAUAUAUAUAUAUAUAUAUAUAUAUAUAUAUAUAUAUAUAUAUAUAUAUAUAUAUAUAUAUUUAUAUAUAUAUACGUAUAUAUAUAUAUUUAUAUAAAUAUAUAUAUAUAUAAGUAUACAUGUACAACAGCUUUGGCCUUUGGCAUCUCUUGUAUUUAAAUAUACAUGUAUUGUGAAAGAAAUGAAUGAAAAGAACAAUGGUAGGCGUAGCUUAAAUCAAGGUUCCUCAGAGCUAUCUGCCCUGGAAAAAAAAAUACAUAUAUAUAUAUAUAUAUAAUCUACUAGUCGUAAGUUCUGUGUAACGGACAAGAAUAUUUUAUUUCAUGGUGACUUGAGUAUUCGAUCAAUGAAUAAACAGGAAAAUAUAAAGUGGAAAACGUAGUUUUUACUUCAUCGACCCCCGCGUUGAUUCAUUGAUGUAGUCUACAUCGAUAUUUUUUGUACGGCAUUUUUAAUAACAGUCUGUUACACAACUUGAAACUCUUACUCAUAUAAUAUUUAUCAUUCUUUUUAUAGUUCUUUUUAGACAGCUUCUUGCCAUGAAUGUUAUGUAAGAAUGAAUGUCUUGCUUUAAGUUUGUAAAGCCUAUUAGAAUUGUAUGCGGUUUAAUUUUCCUUUUUGGUUUAAAUUUACUGGACACCCCCUGAUGUGUACUUGUUGCACUAGAAAUACGGUAUUUGUCGUUUUUGCACCCCCCCCUUCGCAAUUACUCGUUAAUGACAUUAGAUUACUAUAAAAUUAAUGGAAGAAUUGUAAAACAUAAAAAUAAAAAACGACAACAUCAAAACAACCAUCGAUUUUGAUGCCAGGAAUGUUUUUUCAAAUAAAAAUACUAGCUAACACAAUAAGUUCAGUGUUAUAAGAGUUUAAUUAAUUACGUGUCAUAAAUGCGCAACGUUAAUUAAAAACAUUAUUCACCCUAAUCACUUCACCUAGAACACUGAAAUCUACCCAGUUUUUGUUGAAAUGAAAGAUAUUUGCAUUCGAUUUUGGUAUUACAUUUGAUUUUUUUUUUUUUCAAUUAUACUUUUGAAUGUAAAUAUUGACCUUUAAUUUUAUCAAAAAUAUUUGAAAGCAGACUGCCAGAAUAAGUGAAAUAACAUUAUGCUAUUUAUAUGAUUACGUCAUUAUAUUAUCGUACAUGUAUCUUGUUAUUGAUAUAUAAUCAUGGAAAUGAAAAAUAACCAGCGAAAAUAAUGAUUAUGUAUAUAAUACUGAUUGUAUAUUUGAGAAAGUAGAAUAGUUUUACUAGUAUUUUCAGAAAAGAAUUUAGAUACAAACUAAGAGCUGAUUCAGAUGAAGCAUAUUUAUAUUAGAUUAUAUAUUGUGAUAAAGAAGAUUUGUAUGAUGAGAUAAUCUUGUGAUAUCAUUUAGAUUUCUUUAGUACUCGUUUCAAUGUCAAGAUGGGCUGAAUAUUGUUCAUAUUUUAUAUUCUAGAAUGAUUUGAUGUAUUCAGGUUGAAUAAAAUGGGUUAGAUGGGAUAA